AAUGAACGCUGGCGGCGGGCUUAACACAUGCAAGUCGAACGAGUGGCGGACGGGUGAAUAAUUUAUGGGGACUGCCUGAUAGAGGGGUAUAACUACUGGAAAAGGUGGCUAAUACUGCAUAAUAUCGGAUGAGCCAUAUGGGAUUAGCUAGUCGGGGGGGUAAAGGCUCACCUAGGCGACGAUCUCUAGCUGGUCUGAGAGGAUUAUCAGCCACACUGGGACUGAGACACGGCCCAGACUCCUAUGGAGGCAGCAGUGGGGAAUAUUGCACAAUGGGCGAAAGCCUGAUGCAGCAAUGCCGCGUGUAUGAAGAAGGCUUUCGGGUUGUAAAGUACUUUCAGUCGGGAGGCGUUACCGACAGAAGAAGCACCGGCUAACUCCGUGCCAGCAGCCGCGGUAAUAC
rnacentral:rRNA from 1 species